GCAGACCUGAACCAGCUGUCAUUAGUAAAACUAGACCGUUACAGAGAAGAUUAGUAUGGCCCCUGCGCAAGGAUGACAUGCAAAUUUGUGAACCAGCUGUCACUGAC